GCAGGCCUAAUCAUGCAAGUCGAGGGGUAACAGAGAGUGCUUGCACUCUGCUGACGACCGGCGCACGGGUGAGUAACACGUAUGUAACCUACCUUUUACUGGGGGAUAGCCAAGAGAAAUUUUGAUUAAUACCCCAUACGAUCUAAUUAUUUCCUGAUAAAUAGAUGAAAGCUUCGGCGGUAAAAGAUGGGCAUGCGACCUAUUAGUUUGUUGGUAAGGUAACGGCUUACCAAGACUACGAUAGGUAGGGGUCCUGAGAGGGAGAUCCCCCACACUGGUACUGAGACACGGACCAGACUUCUACGGGAGGCAGCAGUAAGGAAUAUUGGACAAUGGAGGAAACUCUGAUCCAGCCAUGCCGCGUGCAGGAAGAAUGCCUUAUGGGUUGUAAACUGCUUUUAUACAGGAAGAAAACUUGGUAUGUAUACCAAUUUGACGGUACUGUAAGAAUAAGGAUCGG
rnacentral:rRNA from 1 species